rnacentral:rRNA from 1 species
GAUGAACGCUGGCGGCGUGCCUGAUACAUGCAAGUAGAACGCUGAAGGAAGGAGCUUGCUCUUUCCGGAUGAGUUGCGAACGGGUGAGUAACGCGUAGGUAACCUGCCUGGUAGCGGGGAAUAACUAUUGGAAACGAUAGCUAAUACCGCAUAACAGUAGAUGUUGCAUGAUAUCUACUUAAAAGGUGCAAUUGCACCACUACCAGAUGGACCUGCGUUGUAUUAGCUAGUUGGUGAGGUAACGGCUCACCAAGGCGACGAUACAUAGCCGACCUGAGAGGGUGAUCGGCCACACUGGGACUGAGACACGGCCCAGACUCCUACGGGAGGCAGCAGUAGGGAAUCUUCGGCAAUGGACGGAAGUCUGACCGAGCAACGCCGCGUGAGUGAAGAAGGUUUUCGGAUCGUAAAGCUCUGUUGUAAGAGAAGAACGAGUGUGAGAGUGGAAAGUUCACACUGUGACGGUAUCUGACCAGAAAGGGACGGCUAACUACGUG